UACGUAGGAGGCAAGCGUUGUCCGGAAUUACUGGGCGUAAAGAGCGUGUAGGCGGUUAGGUAGGUCCGUUGUGAAAACUCGAGCUCAACCUCGAGACGCCGAUGGAAACCCUCCAGCUAGAGUCCGGAAGAGGAGAGUGGAAUUCCUGGUGUAGCGGUGAAAUGCGCAGAUAUCAGGAAGAACACCCGUGGCUAAGGCGGCUCUCUAGUACGGUACUGACGCUGAGACGCGAAAGCGUGGGGAGCGAACAGG
rnacentral:rRNA from 1 species